rnacentral:rRNA from 1 species
GUCCACGCCGUAACGAUGAAUACUAGGUGUCAGGGAGCACAGCUCUUGGUGCCGCCGCAAACGCAUUAAGUAUUCCACCUGGGAGUACGUUCGCAAGAAUGAAACUCAAAGGAAUUGACGGGACCCGCACAAGCGGUGGAGCAUGUGGUUUAAUUCGAAGCAACGCGAAGAACCUUACCAAAUCUUGACAUCCCUCUGACCGGGACUUAACCGUCCCUUCCUUCGGGACAGGGGAGACAGGUGGUGCAUGGUUGUCGU